rnacentral:rRNA from 1 species
UACGUAGGGUGCAAGCGUUGUCCGGAAUUAUUGGGCGUAAAGAGCUCGUAGGCGGUUUGUCGCGUCUGCUGUGGAAACUCGGGGCUUAACCCCGGGCCUGCAGUGGGUACGGGCAGACUAGAGUGCGGUAGGGGAGACUGGAAUUCCUGGUGUAGCGGUGAAAUGCGCAGAUAUCAGGAGGAACACCGGUGGCGAAGGCGGAUCUCUGGGCCGUAACUGACGCUGAGGAGCGCAAGCAUGGGGAGCGAACAGG